UGUAAGUUGUGAAAUAAUUACGUAGGGAAUUAUAAGUUUUCUGUAGAAUAUGGUAGCUGCUCGUUAACGUAUUGGUUUACAAAUUUGAAACUUAAAGGGGAAGAGUACAAAGUGAUAUGCUAGAAUUGAAGGGGUCUAUAGAGAAAAUUAGAUAAAAAAGCCUUUCCUUAUUUUUUUAGGUUGCAACUAUUUUGGAAAUAGUUACAGCUAGCUGGUCGAUCAAUGAAGAUACAUUAUUUUGUAGAGGUAGGAUUGAAGUUAUUGAAAUGUCUUCUAUUUAAAGCGAGGAUGAUUUAAAUGAACGAUAUUAAGGAUAUCAUCUUUUAUAGUGAGCUUAUUUUAUAAGUUGCGAAGUUGUACGAAGCAAUGAGUUGUGUGGGCAAAAAGGGGACUAAAAUCCAUUAAGUGCUUUGGAGACAAGUCGUAUAAUUUUGGAUGCAAUAUCAAGGUGGAAUCAGAAAAGAUCAUCUCGGAAAGGAUAAAUAUAAGAUAGCAACAAUACUUUAUAAGGUUCAUUAUAACAUAAGAAAGAAGAUGAAGCACCUUUUGUUUUUCCACAAACAAAAAAAAGAAAUAAGUAAAACAAAUGCAUCUUACAUAUUAAUAGUCAAAAGAAAACAUUUCGAGUAUAUUGAAAGCUUACCAACUCGCUUAAAAUGUUACUAAAGUUCAUAACAACGUCUAAGACGCCAAAGAUAGCCAUAUUUAUUGGUAUAUGGGAAAUUGCAUCGUACCAUGUGUUACAUUUGCACACCUACAUAAAUUAAGUUUUUUUUUCCAACUUAUUAUAUGAAAAUCAUUGUUAUUCAAAUUUUAUACGAUAUCUAACAUCUAGUUUAUAGUAGUAUCUUUUAACAAUGUUGUAAUAUUUGAUAACACCAAAUGGAAGAGAUAUUGCUCAUGCUCAUUUCGGCAUUACGAGUAUAUGCAAACAUUUUGCAGUUUUAAAGCAAUUAUGUUUUUUCUUUAGUUUUUGUAGUCAAAAUUUGUAUUGAUUAAAUAACAAUAAAAUUAUUUUCUUCCUAACAUUCAAACGUUUAGCAUGUUUCCAAAUGUCGUCUUUCAUUGU